UUCUUAUUUUUUAUUUUUGCUAAUCAUCGCUGGUUCCGCUGUUGUGACGAGCAUUUGUUUUCACCGAUUCAAAUUCUUAGAGAAUUGAAAUGAGUUUUUAUUUUAUUUUUUUAAACUAAUGAAUGAGUAUGUUGUGAUUGAACUUCAAGAUAUUGGUGAAUGUAGAGUGGAAUUUUAAAUCUUGUUCUGUGAGAAUUAUCUUGAAUUUUAGACAUUGUUAUUUUCACGUGAUUUUGCUCGUAUUUCAGUUUUUUAAGGCUGGAUUUUUUUAAAACUUAAUGGUGCUUGAAAUCUGAUUGGUUGAUAAGAAAGUAGGUGAAGUUUAUGUGCAGUGAUGAUAUCUGUGUAUCCCAGCUCAUUAUGAGACCUUUCGUAGGUCCGGGAAUGAACCAGUUUCCACAUUUAUCUGAGACUAGGCUCAGAGUUGUUAAACUUUCUGAUUCAAUUUGAACAACGAAGCAGAAUAAUCGGCCACUAAUAAACCUAGAUUUCGAAUUUUUAGAUACGAAAUAUUAUAUCUACAUCGAUUGGUCUAUAUUUUUAACUUUUCUUAAAACUAUAUUUUGAUUGAAAUGCUGAUUGUAUUAUCAGCCGCAAUGAUGCAAUGUGAUAAUCCCAGCUCUAUGAGACUUUCUAAAGGUCAAGGACUAGACAAGAUCCACAUUUUUACCUGAUCUCAAAAUAUUAUUUUUAAAUCGAUGGGCCAAUAAUUUUAACUUUUCUUUAAUUAUAUUUUGAAUGAAAAUGCUUACUGUAUUAUCAAUCGCGAUGAUGCAAUGUGAUAAUCCCAGCUCUAUGAGACCUUCCAAAGGUCAAGGACUAGACAAGAUCCACAUAUCUACCUGAGCUCAAAAUAUUAUUUUUAAAUCGAUGGGCCAAUAUUUUGAACUUUUCUUUAAGUAUAUUUUGAUUGAAAUUUUUAUUGUAUUAUCAUCGGCAAUGAUGCAAUGUGAUAAUCCCAGCUCUAUGAGACUUUCUAAAGGUCAAGGACUAGACAAGAUCCACAUAUUUACCUGAGCUCAAAAUAUUAUUUUUGAAUCGAUGGGUCAAUAUUUUAAACUUUUCUUUUAUUAUAUUUUUAUUGAAAUUGUGAUUUUAUUAUCACCCGCAAUGAUGCAAUAUGAUAAUCCCAGCUCUAUGAGACUUUCUACAGGUCAAGGACUAGACAAGAUCCACAUAUUUACCUGAGCUAAAAUUAUUUUACCCUUUUAGUUCUUUCAUUUCGUAUCAAACUCAGCAGUAAAAUUAAGAUGACAAAUAUGAGCUACCUUCAUCAUGUAUUAAUAACAAAGCCCGUUCGCAUAUCCUUCUGCCAUUUCAGUCACUGUUUUCCUUGUUGAAGGAUUGAGAGAUAGGUUGUUCCCUAUGAUGUUUUACUUUUUAAACCAUGCUAAUACUGAUCACAUGAUGAUUGAUCUUCAACUCUUGUCUCUGAGGGAACUAGCCUACACGAUUGAAUUAAUUGUUUCAGAAUUUAUAAUCUUAUUCUGUGAGAUUUAUCUUUAACUUUAGCCAUUGUAACUUAAUGGUGCAUGGAAUCUGUUGUUUGAUAAGAAAGUCGUUUAAGUUUAUGUGCAGUGAUGAUAUCUGUGUAUCCCAGCUCAUUAUGAGACCUUCCGUAGGUCCGGGAAUGAACCUGUUUCCACAUUUAUCUGAGCUUAGGUUCAUUGUUAAACUUUCAGAUUCAAUUUGAACAACGAAACGGUAUAAUUGUCCACUAAGAAACCUUGAUUUCGAAUUUUUUAUCUCCCCUUAAAUUUAUUAUGAUUGGAAUGCUGGUAUUGUUAUAUCACCCGCAAUGAUGAAUUAUGUGAAUCCCAGCUCUAUGAGACAUUCUAAAUGUCAAUGACUAGACAAGAUUCACAUAUUUACCUGAGCU